rnacentral:rRNA from 1 species
CGGGAGGCAGCAGUGAGGAAUAUUGGACAAUGGAUGGAAAUCUGAUCCAGCCAUGCCGCGUGCAGGAAGACGGCCCUAUGGGUUGUAAACUGCUUUUAUACGGGAGCAAUAAGGUCUACGUGUAGACUGAUGAGAGUACCGUAUGAAUAAGCAUCGGCUAACUCCGUGCCAGCAGCCGCGGUAAUACGGAGGAUGCGAGCGUUAUCCGGAUUUAUUGGGUUUAAAGGGUGCGUAGGCGGCCUUGUAAGUCAGCGGUGAAAUUUUGCAGCUUAACUGUAAAAGUGCCGUUGAUACUGUGAGGCUAGGAUUUGGUUGCUGUGGGUGGAAUGUGUGGUGUAGCGGUGAAAUGCUUAGAGAUCACACAGAAUAUCGAUUGCGAAGGCAGCUCACAAAGCCAAGAUUGAUCGCUGAGGCACGAAAUGUGUGGGGAUCAAAGCAGGAUUAGAUAUCCCUGGUAGUCCACCAUCUGUAAAACGAUGAUAA